CCUACGGGGGGCAGCAGUGGGGUAUCUUGCACAAUGGGGGGAACCCUGAUGCAGCGACGCCGCGUGGGUGAAGGAGUGUUUCGGCGCGUAAAGCCCUAUCUUCCUUUCCUCCUUCUUCCCUUCCCUUCCUCCGCCGCCCCGGCUCCCUCCGUGCCCGCCGCCGCGGGCCUACGUCGGGGGCCCGCGUUCUCCUGCUUUCCUGUGGGUACGGGUGGCACAGCCGUCAGCGCCAGCCCUGAGUGACCGCCCGGGGCCCCACCCCGGGCCUGCUCUUGGAACUGCGCGGCUGGAGUGCAGGAGGGGCAGGCGGAAUUCCUGGUGUAGCGGUGAAAUGCGUAGAUAUCAGGAGGAACACCGGGGGCGAAGGCGGCCUGCUGGACUGCGACUGACGUGGAGGCCCGAAAGCGUGGGGAGCAAACAGGAUGAGAGACCCCGGUAGUC
rnacentral:rRNA from 1 species